AUUGAACGCUGGCGGAAUGCUUUACACAUGCAAGUCGAACGGCAGCACGGGGGCAACCCUGGUGGCGAGUGGCGAACGGGUGAGUAAUACAUCGGAACAUGCCCAGUCGUGGGGGAUAACGUAGCGAAAGUUACGCUAAUACCGCAUACGAUCCAAGGAUGAAAGCGGGGGACCGCAAGGCCUCGCGCGAUUGGAGUGGCCGAUGUCAGAUUAGGUAGUUGGUGGGGUAAAGGCUCACCAAGCCGACGAUCUGUAGCUGGUCUGAGAGGACGACGAGCCACACUGGAACUGAGACACGGUCCAGACUCCUACGGGAGGCAGCAGUGGGGAAUUUUGGACAAUGGGCGCAAGCCUGAUCCAGCCAUUCCGCGUGCAGGAUGAAGGCCUUCGGGUUGUAAACUGCUUUUGUACGGAACGAAACGGCCUGCUCUAAUACAGCGGGCUAAUGACGGUACCGUAAGAAUAAGCACCGGCUAACUACGUGCCAGCCGCCGCGGUAACAC
rnacentral:rRNA from 1 species